rnacentral:rRNA from 1 species
CCUACGGUAGGCAGCAGUGCGGAAUAUUGGUCCAUGGACGCAAGUCUGAACCAGCCAUGCCGCGUGCAGGAAUACGGCUCUAUGAGUUGUAAACUGCUUUUGUACGAGUGUCAAUCCGGAUACGUGUAUCCAGUUGAAAGUAUUGUACGAAUAAGGAUCGGCUAACUCCGUGCCAGCCUCCGCGUUAAUACGGAGGAUUCAAGCGUUAUCCGGAUUUAUUGGGUUUAAAGGGUGCGUAGGCGGGUCGAUAAGUUAGAGGUGAACUCUCGGGUCUUAACUCCGGCACUGCCUCUGAUACGGUCGGGAUAGAGGUUAGUUGCGGUAGGCGGAAUGUAUGGUGUAGCGGUGAAAUGCAGAGAGAUCAUAGAGAACACCGAUUGCGAAGGCAGCUUACCAAACUACGACUGACGUUGAGGCACGAAAGCGUGGGGAGCAAACAGGAUUAGAUACCACUGUAGUC